rnacentral:rRNA from 1 species
GCUACACAUGCAGUCGAGCGGCAGCGGRAGUAGCUUGCUACUUUGCCGGCGAGCGGCGGACGGGUGAGUAAUGUCUGGGAAACUGCCUGAUGGAGGGGGAUAACUACUGGAAACGGUAGCUAAUACCGCAUGACCUCGCAAGAGCAAAGUGGGGGACCUUCGGGCCUCACGCCAUCGGAUGUGCCCAGAUGGGAUUAGCUAGUAGGUGAGGUAAUGGCUCACCUAGGCGACGAUCCCUAGCUGGUCUGAGAGGAUGACCAGCCACACUGGAACUGAGACACGGUCCAGACUCCUACGGGAGGCAGCAGUGGGGAAUAUUGCACAAUGGGCGCAAGCCUGAUGCAGCCAUGCCGCGUGUGUGAAGAAGGCCUUAGGGUUGUAAAGCACUUUCAGCGAGGAGGAAGGGUUCAGUGUUAAUAGCACUGAACAUUGACGUUACUCGCAGAAGAAGCACCGGCUAACUCCGUGCCAGCAGCCGCGGUAAUACGGAGGGUGCAAGCGUUAAUCGGAAUUACUGGGCGUAAAGCGCACGCAGGCGGUUUGUUAAGUCAGAUGUGAAAUCCCCGAGCUUAACUUGGGAACUGCAUUUGA